UACGGAGGGGGCAAGCGUUGUUCGGAAUUACUGGGCGUAAAGCGCGUGGAGGCGGUCGCUUAAGUCUGGCGUGAAAGCCCGGGGCUCACCCCCGGAAGUGCGCUGGAAACUGAGCGACUCGAGUGCCGGAGGGGAGGGUGGAAUUCCUGGUGUAGAGGUGAAAUGCGUAGAUAUCAGGAGGAACACCGGUGGCGAAGGCGGCCCUCUGGACGGAUACUGACGCUGAGACGCGAAAGCGUGGGGAGCAAACAGG
rnacentral:rRNA from 1 species